rnacentral:lncRNA from 10 species
GCCGAGCGGGGUAGAGGGGCUGGAGACAGCAGUCAUGUGGAUGUUUUGGCACACAGGGGUCUGAAGGAGCCUGAUUGUUGAAGCAAAACUUCCCGUUUACCUACUGAUUGGAGGGUUUUUGAGCAUCUGGAAGCCAGAACAAAAAUGCUUCUUUCCAUCCUAGACCAUCCAUCCUCCCGCUGACCUUCCAGAUGACUGCAGGUGCAUGAGCACGCCCAGCAGGGAUCAGCUGAGCAAAAUCACCUCGCCGAAUCAUAGGUACAUAGCCACUCUAAGCCACUAAAUUUUGAGCUUAUUAACUUACAGAAAAAACAGCCUGCUUGAUUCAUUUUUGCUAUCUUUGAAGUAGUGGACAUGUAGGGAUGACAAUGAAAUUCAUUUAUUAUUAUGAUUAUUAAACCUGGGAAUGCUGUCCAUUAGUAUCUUUUUAAAAAAUUUAGAUUCAGGGGUACAUGUGCUGGUUUGUUACAUAGAUAUGUUGUGUGAUGCUGCGUUUGAGCUUCUUUUGAACCCAUCACCCAAAGAAUGAACAAAGUACCCAAUAGGUAGUUUUCAACCUUAGCCCCUUCCCUUCCUUCCCCCUUUUGGAGUCCCCAGUGUCUAUUGUUUUCAUUUUUACAUCUAUGUGUACCCAUGUUUAGCUCUCACUUAUAAGUGAGAACAUGUGGUAUUUGGUUUUCUGUUUCUCUGUUCAUUCACUUAGAAUAUUGGCCUCCAACGGCAUCCAUGUUGCUG